AUAAGCAACGUGCCUCGAAGUCUGGGAUAGCCGGUGGAAACGCCGAGUAAUACCGGAUGUGGCCCUUUCUAGGCAUCUAGGGAGGAUUAAACGGUUUUUCGCUUCAAGAGCGGCUUAUGGCCUAUCAGCUAGUUGGCGGGGUAACGGCCCACCAAGGCGACGACGGGUAGGGGGUCUAAGAGGAUGAUCCCCCCGAGUGGGACUGAGACACGGCC
rnacentral:rRNA from 1 species